AAUCUUCUGUUGAUGUAUAACAACAGGUUGAAUGAAAAUAAAAGUCAUUCCUCAGUCAAAAACAUAAACAACAUGUUCUGAAUAGGCUUUAACAGAAGCAUCUCAGCUUUAUGUCUGUUUGUAUUCUUUUGUGCUGUUUGUAUUUUUGUUUGUAUUCCUUUCUUUUUAUGUUUUUAACAUUAUGAAAAGCACAACUACAACUAUCAACUACCAACAAAUAUUCCCUGAAAUGAUGGAUGGUGUGAAAAGUGAGCACAGUAAACAAACUGUUCUUCCUCUCUGUUUGAUGUGGAGUUUGUCCUUCAUUUAAAAACACAGAGAUGCUGUUUGGGAGAGCAAGGGAGGAGGGAGGAGGGAGCAAGAGGGAGGAGGGGGGAGGCUGUUGGACUGUUUUAGCAUUUAUUUUCCUUAUGGGAACGCAGCAGCGACCCAAGUGCGACCUUCUGUUUUAACACGAAACAUUCGUCAGCAGGCGUCACACAGUUCAGACUAAGACUGCAGCGACGCUUCCUCUCUUCACCCCUCACCUCCCUCACCUCCCUCCAUCCCCCUCUCCUCCUCUAAGGCUCUCUGAAUCUUUUCCUCCCGUCCGCCAAGGUCACAAACAAACAGGAAGUCCGCCGCCGCCAGCAGACACUCAUCUGCACAACGUCUGUCUGAGAGAAAAGUUCUGCUUCUUUUCUCUCUGUGACAGAGUUCAAAGGCUGCAGGGUUUUUAUGAAGAUCCAAGAAGACGACGAAGAAGGGGAAGAGGAGGAAGACAAACUGUAGGUGCAGCUGCAGCCUCGCGAUGUUUCACUCGAAACAGAAACAGAAACAGAUGGAGACGUCCACAUCACAUUUAAAAAGAUUUUUUGAUGAUUCGUUUUCCACUGAUGCCCCGGGGCUGAUGGAGCUUAGAGGAAAAAACAUGGACUUUCACUCUAAGUAAGAAGAGAAAAGCAGCAGUUUGGGACGUUUUAGAGAAGAACUGAGGCCUCUCUGUGUCUCCUGGCUGAAUGAAACAACAGAUUUAAUCCACAUCACAUUCACGACAGAAGACGGCAAACAGACUGGGCUGAGGCCACCGUGAUGUUAGUGAUACAACUAAUGUUAGAGUCUACCAAACAGACGAAGCCCAGAACAGUUAGAUUAGUCAACAUCUUUUUUAAAGAACAGACUAAUUUCUAUUUGGGUAGAGGUGGGAGGAGAUUCAUGUUUUACUUUUUAGAGACAUUUUGGUUUGGUGGAGGGCACAUUUUAACAGUGAUGGCCAAAAAGUAAUUAUAAUACCCAUCCCUAGUUUAUACGUAGGAAAGUACCUUUUAACUUGUGUUCCAUGAGUUAAUUAAUUUGAGCUGUCUGCAGGGUAUUUCAGCUGCCAGCUUCCUCGACACCUCUACUGGUCUUAACAAUGGUUUAAAAUAAAACUGUGCUUCUUCACUCCUUUAGGUUUCUUGAAGACGUGUCAUCUCUCAACUGAGGGGCUUCUUCAGUUCUAGAGGCUGGUUGGGGAGUCCCAGGUAUUUAACCUGUUGGAGGUGGUCCUGAGAGUUGCUGACCCACCCUGUCGUCAUAUGAGUUAUUAGGAUCACAUGGGUCGAGGUGUAAAUGGGGGUUAAGUCGUCUGGAUAAGGAUCUAGAGACUGCAUUGUAGGUGGCUGAUAGUUUGUUGUAGGCCACCACGUCUGUUCAAAGAUGGUCGUCCUAGAUCUUCAAGAAACCUAAAAGAAGUCCAGGACCUGGACCUGGAUGACUGAAACCUACACAGAUCUCCUGCUCCUUGUCGUCCAUACGACAACAGAUCUGAAACUGUUUUCCUGAUGAAAGUAACCCUGCACCAUCAGUGUAAUGAGCAGUAAACUGAGACUUCAGGCAUGAAUCCAUCAUCAUCAUUUUACUGGUGCAUGACAGUGAUUUUCACACCUAUAAAAUGUGAGACACAGAAAGUGCUGAACAUGUCACGGAUGCACUUCUCUGUUCUUCUGAGGGGAUUUCUGAGGCUUUAUACAGCAGAAAUUUCACACUCUGAAUUCAGGUCACUGUUAAUUGUCUGUAAAUAACUUGUAAAUAACAUCUGUAGUCUCACAGUGCUGCACAGAACAUUAAGAUCAUCAGCCGCUGUCACUCUGUUCAUCACGAACUGAUGAGGAAACUUGUCUGUUUCCAGAUGAAGACCUGGUCUUCCUUCAGUUCAGCGACGCCACGCAGGUGUAGGUGCCGAAGUCGGUAAAUUUGAGGUCGAUGAUGUCGAGGUUGGUGGUUCCUGGCGAGACGUCGGUGUCGGUGUGGGUGAUGACCAUCCGCUCGGAGCUCCUCAGCGGCCGGCCGUU